AUGUCUUCAGAUGGCUCCAUUUUCAGCACCAGCGUUACAUCCGGCGAAGGGAUGUCAAUUAUUAAUGUGCUGAAAUUGGCAAAGUCCAGGACUGUGCUGUUCUCCUGCCCAACGUCGAGCCUUGGUAAGUUCUCAACAGUAAUGACACUGCCAUUGGCUCUGGUGAGAGACACAGACCCUACAGUUCCUGUGAUGUUUCCUUUGCUCCAGGAAAAUGGAUUCUUCUCAAAACUCAUCAUCUGAGAGACUGGAGAGUUUGGACGGAGGCACUGGAGAUACUUUCCCGGACCUUGAGGAAGACAUACAAUGAAGCUGAUUAUUUAAUUAAUAAUUAAUAGGGAGAACUGAUUUCUCUAAUCCUCCUUUAUUC